UGGGGAAUAUUGGACAAUGGGCGCAAGCCUGAUCCAGCCAUGCCGCGUGAGUGAUGAAGGCCUUAGGGUUGUAAAGCUCUUUCAGUAGGGAAGAUAAUGACGGUACCUACAGAAGAAGCCCCGGCUAACUUCGUGCCAGCAGCCGCGGUAAUACGAAGGGGGCUAGCGUUGUUCGGAUUUACUGGGCGUAAAGCGCACGUAGGCGGAUUGUUAAGUUAGGGGUGAAAUCCCAGGGCUCAACCCUGGAACUGCCUUUAAUACUGGCAAUCUAGAGUCCGGAAGAGGUGAGUGGAACUCCUAGUGUAGAGGUGGAAUUCGUAGAUAUUAGGAAGAACACCAGUGGCGAAGGCGGCUCACUGGUCCGGUACUGACGCUGAGGUGCGAAAGCGUGGGGAGCAAACA
rnacentral:rRNA from 1 species